rnacentral:rRNA from 1 species
CCUACGGGUGGCAGCAGUAGGGAAUCUUCCACAAUGGGCGAAAGCCUGAUGGAGCAACGCCGCGUGAGUGAAGAAGGUCUUCUGAUCGUAAAACCCUGUUGUUAGAGAAGAAAGUGCGUGUGAGUAACUGUUCACGUUUCGACGGUAUCUAACCAGAAAGCCCCGGCUAACUACGUGCCAGCAUCCGCGGUAAUACGUAGGUGGCAAGCGUUAUCCGGAUUUAUUGGGCGUAAGGGGAACGCAGGCGGUCUUUUAAGUCUGAUGUGAAAGCCUUCGGCUUAACCGGAGUAGUGCAUUGGAAACUGGGAGACUGGAGUGCAGAAGAGGAGAGUGAAACGCCAUGUGUAGCGGUGAAAUGCGUAGAUAUAUGGAAGAACACCAGUGGCGAAAGCGGCUCUCUGGUCUGUAACUGACGCUGAGGUUCGAAAGCGUGGGUAGCAAACAGGAUUAGAUACCCCAGUAGUC